CAGUCGCCACGGGAAUACGUAGGUGGCAAGCGUUGUCCGGAAUUAUUGGGCGUAAAGGGCUCGCAGGCGGUUUCUUAAGUCUGAUGUGAAAGCCCCCGGCUCAACCGGGGAGGGUCAUUGGAAACUGGGAAACUUGAGUGCAGAAGAGGAGAGUGGAAUUCCACGUGUAGCGGUGAAAUGCGUAGAGAUGUGGAGGAACACCAGUGGCGAAGGCGACUCUCUGGUCUGUAACUGACGCUGAGGAGCGAAAGCGUGGGGAGCGAACAGGAUUAGAUACCCGCGUAGUCCCUGUCUCUUAUCC
rnacentral:rRNA from 1 species